rnacentral:rRNA from 1 species
AAGGAAUAUUGGACAAUGGAGGCAACUCUGAUCCAGCCAUGCCGCGUGAAGGAAUAAGGCCCUAUGGGUUGUAAACUUCUUUUAGACGGGACAAAACCCCUUUACGUGUAAAGGGUUGAUGGUACUGUCAGAAUAAGCAUCGGCUAACUUCGUGCCAGCAGCCGCGGUAAUACGAAGGAUGCAAGCGUUAUCCGGAUUCACUGGGUUUAAAGGGUGCGUAGGUGGGCAGAUAAGUCAGUGGUGAAAUCUUCCGGCUUAACCGGAAAAUUGCCGUUGAUACUAUUUGUCUUGAAUAUUGUGGAGGUAAGCGGAAUAUGUCAUGUAGCGGUGAAAUGCAUAGAUAUGACAUAGAACACCGAUUGCGGAGGCAGCUUGCUACGCAAAUAUUGACGCUGAGGCACGAAAGCGUGGGGAUCAAACA